UUUACAUGAUGAUUAACAUUAUCACCAUCUUUCGACUGAGAAACAGUGCUGUUAUUUACAUGUUACUGAUAAA